rnacentral:rRNA from 1 species
GAGUUUGAUCCUGGCUCAGAACGAACGCUGGCGGCAUGCCUAACACAUGCAAGUCGAACGAGACCUUCGGGUCUAGUGGCGCACGGGUGCGUAACGCGUGGGAAUCUGCCCUCUGGUACGGAAUAACUCAGGGAAACUUGAGCUAAUACCGUAUAAUGACUUCGGUCCAAAGAUUUAUCGCCUGAGGAUGAGCCCGCGUAGGAUUAGCUUGUUGGUGAGGUAAAAGCUCACCAAGGCGACGAUCCUUAGCUGGUCUGAGAGGAUGAUCAGCCACACUGGGACUGAGACACGGCCCAGACUCCUACGGGAGGCAGCAGUGGGGAAUAUUGGACAAUGGGCGAAAAGCCUGAUCCAGCAAUGCCGCGUGAGUGAUGAAGGCCUUAGGG